rnacentral:lncRNA from 1 species
ACAGAUUGUUUUCCAGAACAUUCAACAGGACAAGUGAACGCCUUAGGGACGAUGGAAACAUUUACGGAGCAGAUAUUGUUUUUUAAAUAUUCCCUCUCUCUUACCACUCCCACUCUUCCAAAUAUAUAAUGGUCAGUCCCGCCGGCCUUCGGCAAAAUUAACACAAUCCAUCAAAUAAUAUCUAUGUACUUUGAAAAAUAAGAGGCAUCUUGUUUAUGUACUUUGCUCUGUUCCAGAACAAGCCAUCUCUCCAGCCGUACCUGCUGUGACUCUACCCACUACCCCGCAGCCCGAGUCUAGCAAUAUUUUCUUGUGUCUUGUGCAUGCAGGAAGCUCAGUUAUCCGGUACACGCCUGCGGACACAAACCACUUAACUGUCUACACGAAGAAGCCGGUUUCUACUCAGAAAGAGUCUGCCUCAACGACACUGGUUGUCAGCAGAGGAUCAUACACAUCACUUUGGAGCCUUUGAACCAUUUCAACAACGACGGCCCUCGCACCAAUCACCACCUGAUGACACUCGAUACCCAUUGUUUAACUAGAUUGACGGAUUAAAAUAUUCGUAGGACGACGACCUCACUUUUUGCUAGUUUGUCUUCAUACGACACAGGGGGUCGUCGUCAUGAGAAUGAACCGUAGAUGAUA